AGCGAACGCUGGCGGCAGGCCUAAUACAUGCAAGUCGAACGCAUCGCAAGAUGAGUGGCAGACGGGUGAGUAACGCGUGGGAACAUACCCUUUUCUACGGAAUAGCUCUGGGAAACUGGAAUUAAUACCGUAUACGCCCUACGGGGGAAAGAUUUAUCGGGGAAGGAUUGGCCCGCGUUGGAUUAGCUAGUUGGUGGGGUAAAGGCCUACCAAGGCGACGAUCCAUAGCUGGUCUGAGAGGAUGAUCAGCCACAUUGGGACUGAGACACGGCCCAAACUCCUACGGGAGGCAGCAGUGGGGAACAUUGGACAAUGGGCGCAAGCCUGAUCCAGCCAUGCCGCGUGAGUGAUGAAGGCCUUAGGGUUGUAAAGCUCUUUCACCGAUGAAGAUAAUGACGGUAGUCGGAGAAGAAGCCCCGGCUAACUUCGUGCCAGCCGCCGCGGUAACAC
rnacentral:rRNA from 1 species